UGGGGAAUAUUGGACAAUGGGGGCAACCCUGAUCCAGCGAUGCCGCGUGGGUGAAGAAGGCCUUCGGGUUGUAAAGCCCUUUAGGUUGGGAAGAAGCUUGGUUGCCGAAUAAGCGAUCAAGUUGACGGUACCGACAGAAUAAGCACCGGCAAACUCUGUGCCAGCAGCCGCGGUAAUACAGAGGGUGCGAGCGUUAAUCGGAUUUACUGGGCGUAAAGGGCGCGUAGGCGGUGAUAUGUGUGAUAUGUGAAAGCCCCGGGCUUAACCUGGGAAGUGCAUGUCAAACUAUAUGACUGGAGUAUAAGAGAGGGUGGCGGAAUUUCCGGUGUAGCGGUGAAAUGCGUAGAGAUCGGAAGGAACGUCAAUGGCGAAGGCAGCCACCUGGCUUAAUACUGACGCU
rnacentral:rRNA from 1 species